UACGGGGGGAGCAAGCGUUGUUCGGAUUUACUGGGCGUAAAGGGCGCGUAGGCGGCCACCGCAAGUCGGUUGUGAAAUCUCUGGGCUUAACCCAGAAAGGUCAACCGAUACUGCGGGGCUAGAGUGCAGAAGGGGCAACUGGAAUUCUCGGUGUAGCGGUGAAAUGCGUAGAUAUUCGCAAGAACACUAGUGGCGAAGGCGGCUCACUGGCCCGGUACUGACGCUGAGGUGCGAAAGCGUGGGGAGCAAACAGG
rnacentral:rRNA from 1 species